CGGGUGAGUAAUACAUCGGAACGUGCCCAGUAGUGGGGGAUAACCCGGCGAAAGCCGGACUAAUACCGCAUACGACCUACGGGUGAAAGCAGGGGAUCGCAAGACCUUGCGCUAUUGGAGCGGCCGAUGUCAGAUUAGCUUGUUGGCGGGGUAAAAGCCCACCAAGGCGACGAUCUGUAGCUGGUCUGAGAGGACGACCAGCCACACUGGGACUGAGACACGGUCCAG
rnacentral:rRNA from 1 species